GGGGGUAUAGCUCAGUGGCAGAGCACAUGCUUAGCAUGCACGAGACCCUGGGUUCAAUCCCCAGUAUCUCCA
rnacentral:tRNA from 2 species